AAGCAUCACUGACAUCUAUCAACCUUAAAGCAAGCCCAAUAUCAUACAUAUAUCAAAAGAAAAUAGAUAAUUGUUGGGAUUGCCACUUAAGCAACCGAAAUAUGAUACCAUCCCUACCAAAUUCAUAUUCAAACAUAAUGAAAGAAAUUAU